rnacentral:snRNA from 1 species
GUGCUUGCUUUGGCAGCACAUACACUGAUGCUACAGAGAUUAGCAUGGCCCCUGAGCACGGAUGACACACAAGUUUGUGAAGUGUCCCAUAUUUUU